rnacentral:rRNA from 1 species
GAUAAACGCUGGCGGCGUGCCUAACACAUGCAAGUCGAACGCCCUUCUCUUCGGAGGAGGGAGUGGCGGACGGGUGAGUAACGCGUGGGUCACCUACCUUGAGGUGAGGAAUACCACCGGGAAACCGGUGACAAUACCGCAUAGCCUUCGCAAGAAGGAAAGCUCCUUUUCGGAGGGGCGCCCCAAGAUGGGUCCGCGUCCGAUUAGUUAGUUGGUGGGGUAAAAGCCUACCAAGACCGCGAUCGGUAGCUGGUCUGAGAGGACGAUCAG